UGAGACUAUAAGUCUCCUGAAGGAACGUUAAAGACGAUGACGUUGAUAGGCCGGGUGUGUAAGCGCAGCGAUGCGUUGAGCUAACCGGUACUAAUGAACCGUGAGGCUUAACCUUACAACGCCGAAG
rnacentral:rRNA from 1 species